AAAACAUCCUUCCUUUGCAUAAUGAAAUGCUGCUUAUAUAUUAAAUCAAAUCUUCCUUUUAGUUUUCCUUGUUAGUAGAAUAAAGCGAUAGUAAAUAGUAUAACUCGCGAUGAGACAAAUUCUAUUUAUCUUUGUUGUUUUGAUAUGUAAAGUGUCACCUUGUCCAGAGGAAUGUUCCUGUAACGAGACGGUCGUGAGAUGUGACAAUAGAGGACUUACCCACGUACCGGAGAGUAUUCCCGGAGAUACAACUGUACUGCAUCUUGAUGGGAACAGCAUCGAAGAAAUAAAUGCAAAUGUCCUCCAAAGUUUAAAUAACCUAAAGCAAUUAUACUUAGGUUCCAAUCCGUUAAGAUGUGACUGUGGACUAAAACGAACAGUAGAG